rnacentral:lncRNA from 1 species
CUGUGGUCCUUAUAAAGAAGAAGAGAUACCAGAGAUUGCCUUUUCUCCACUAUGUGAGGACAAAGUGGGAAGGUGGCCAUCAGUAAGCAAGCAAGAGAGGUCUCACAGGAAAGUGGACCUUGACCUGGGACUUCCAGCUUCCAGAGCCCUAUGGGAUUUUGUUAUCAUGGCAUGAGCAGACCAGUGCAGAAGUUUCCCUUGAUGCCUGUCCCAGGAAUGCUCCAUCUUCAUGGGAUGGACCACCAAAUAAGGAAACAGAGCUUAACAGCCAACAUUAAGUGACAAAGUCACAAACAACCCAGGAAGAGCAGUAAUGUCUGCAUACAGGCAUCAUUGGAGGUUUGGUCCAAUUUCAGAUGGAAUAGCUUAAAGCAUGGGCAAAAGAAAAGAGCUAAAAGUACCAUUAACUGCAUCAAAGCAGAAGAAAGUAGAAGUCAACACAGCCAAGAACUAUAUGCUGCUUCGCUUUUACAAAACGGGUUCAAGAAAUCCACAGCACAUUAUCACUGCACUCAAGGGGAUCCAGGAAGUGGCAAAACUCCAAGGUCUACUUUAUCUAGGACAGUCUUGUUGGAGCAAAAACCUCACUCACUACUUUUCACGAUUGAAACCAGUAGUUUUACCUUCCAGUCUAAGAAGAAAUCUGGAAGAGGAGGCUGACUGGAGUUCUGUGGUUUUCCUACAUCUCUGUCAACACAGAUGGGUUUGUGGAUUGUGCUCUAUAAAAACAUCACCCAUCCACACAGCAUUUACUCUGUGCUGGGUACUGGGCUAAGUAUGUGUGUUAUACUUUUUGUUUUGUUUUGUUUUUUAACCCCACGUACAGAGACUAUAAGGCAGGUAUUAUGCCCUUUGGGCAGGUAAGCAGAGCAGAACCCAGAUGUUUAAAUAAACCAGUCAGACUCUUUACAUGAUUAAGGGUGGUAGCGCACACUCUAGUCCAGCUGCCCUAGCCCAGCUUCUCAGCCUUGACUCAGGAAGACGCCAUGUCCCUGAUGUGCCAUGGAUCCAUUUUACAGGUCGUUUCCAGAAGGCCCA